GCAUGGCUCGGUGCGAAAAACUCCGGUGGUAUAAGAUGGACCCGCGUUGGAUUAGCUAGUUGGUGAGGUAACGGCCCACCAAGGCGACGAUCCAUAGCCGGCCUGAGAGGGUGAACGGCCACAUUGGGACUGAGACACGGCCCAGACUCCUACGGGAGGCAGCAGUGGGGAAUAUUGCACAAUGGGGGAAACCCUGAUGCAGCGACGCCGCGUGAAGGAAGAAGUAUCUCGGUAUGUAAACUUCUAUCAGCAGGGAAGAAAAUGACGGUACCUGACUAAGAAGCCCCGGCUAACUACGUGCCAGCAGCCGCGGUAAUACGUAGGGGGCAAGCGUUAUCCGGAUUUACUGGGUGUAAAGGGAGCGUAGACGGAUGGACAAGUCUGAUGUGAAAGGCUGGGGCUCAACCCCGGGACUGCAUUGGAAACUGCCCGUCUUGAGUGCCGGAGAGGUAAGCGGAAUUCCUAGUGUAGCGGUGAAAUGCGUAGAUAUUAGGAGGAACACCAGUGGCGAAGGCGGCUUACUGGACGGUAACUGACGUUGAGGCUCGAAAGCGUGGGGAGCAAGCAGGAUUAGAUACCCUGGUAGUCCACGCGGUAAACGAUGAAUGCUAGGUGUCGGGGAGCAAAGCUCUUCGGUGCCG
rnacentral:rRNA from 1 species